CCGAGACUCAGUGAAAUUGAACUCGCUGUGAAGAUGCAGUGUACCCGCGGCAAGACGGAAAGACCCCGUGAACCUUUACUAUAGCUUGACACUGAACAUUGAGCCUUGAUGUGUAGGAUAGGUGGGAGGCUUUGAAGCGUGGACGCCAGUCUGCGUGGAGCCGACCUUGAAAUACCACCCUUUAAUGUUUGAUGUUCUAACGUGGACCCGUAAUCCGGGUUGCGGACAGUGUCUGGUGGGUAGUUUGACUGGGGCGGUCUCCUCCUAAAGAGUAACGGAGGAGCACGAAGGUUGGCUAAUCCUGGUCGGACAUCAGGAGGUUAGUGCAAUGGCAUAAGCCAGCUUGACUGCGAGCGUGACGGCGCGAGCAGGUGCGAAAGCAGGUCAUAGUGAUCCGGUGGUUCUGAAUGGAAGGGCCAUCGCUCAACGGAUAAAAGGUACUCCGGGGAUAACAGGCUGAUACCGCCCAAGAGUUCAUAUCGACGGCGGUGUUUGGCACCUCGAUGUCGGCUCAUCACAUCCUGGGGCUGAAGUAGGUCCCAAGGGUAUGGCUGUUCGCCAUUUAAAGUGGUACGCGAGCUGGGUUUAGAACGUCGUGAGACAGUUCGGUCCCUAUCUGCCGUGGGCGCUGGAGAACUGAGGGGGGCUGCUCCUAGUACGAGAGGACCGGAGUGGACGCAUCACUGGUGUUCGGGUUGUCAUGCCAAUGGCACUGCCCGGUAGCUAAAUGCGGAAGAGAUAAGUGCUGAAAGCAUCUAAGCACGAAACUUGCCCCGA
rnacentral:rRNA from 2 species